GAUGAACGCUGGCGGCGUGCUUAACACAUGCAAGUCGAACGGAGAAUUGAAGCUUGCUUUAAUUCUUAGUGGCGGACGGGUGAGUAACGCGUGGGUAACCUGUGCUUAAGUGGGGGACAACAGUUGGAAACGACUGCUAAUACCGCAUAAAGUUAAGAGUCUGCCUGGACUAUUAACCAAAGCAGUAAUCCGCUUUUGGAGGGACCCGCGUCUGCUUAGCUAGUUGGUGAGGUAACGGCGCACCAAGGCGACGAUCAGUAGCCGGCCUGAGAGGGUGAUCGGCCACACUGGGACUGAGACACGGCCCAGACUCCUACGGGAGGCAGCAGUGGGGAAUCUUCCGCAAUGGACGAAAGUCUGACGGAGCAACGCCGCGUGAGGGAUGAAGGCCUUCGGGUUGUAAACCUCUGUCUUCAGGGAAGAAAAAAAUGACGGUACCUGAGGAGGAAGCCCCGGCUAACUACGUGCCAGCAGCCGCAGUAA
rnacentral:rRNA from 1 species